ACCUUUGCGAUCUAUUGAGAAAUGCUCGAGUUAUAAGCGUUCCAAAUCUUGCAUUUUUUCCUACUUGUUCAGUGCCUAGAUUUCCAUUUCACCCCCUAUAUCUUCCGGUUAGACGUAGUCCUACGUCAAAAUAUCAAGAAGCAACUAUAAAAUAGUGAAAAAAAAUUGAGAAAGUUUGUAAAAAAACGCAAAAACACAACAUCAAAGGUUCUUUUCAGAACCUCCAACAUGUUCAUAAAGAGUAAACAGCGAACUAAUCCAUUUUUCAGUUAGAUAGGUAGAUAUUCACGUAGGAGAAGAAAAUAAAACAAUAUAUUUAAAAUAUAUAUUUUGCGAAAGGUGUCACCUUUGUAUAGUCCUACGUCACUCCGGUUAUGUCCCCGACAUUACCCACCCGUCUUUUUUCCUUCAUCAUAUCUUUUGAAUAUCAGUUCAAUCGUAGACAUGAAGAAGUUUAGAGGUUUGUACAUACGGGAUAGGUGUUGCCUUAAAAGGAACCAUCUUCAUAAAUAAUUCACAUUAAUCUCAAUUUCUCAAAAUUAUUCUUUCUUCACAGCUACUAAUGGGACAACGAUCGGAAGGCCGGAAUGCAUUUCUAAUCAAUUUAGUAUCAUAAGAUUUUACAAACCAAUUCAUUCAACAGAUGCUUUCGACAUAAGGCGAUAGUAAUAGUAAUAGUAAUAGUAAUAGUAAUUUAGUUUUUCGCGUUCCGUCUGUUACGGAUGGAUCACGAAAUAACCAGUGUUUUCUACACUUGAAGGUUAAAUCCUUGGUUUCCCAAGAAUCUAACAAGGUCUACGGAUGCCUCGCCUUCGUUUCAUCCACAUCGAAGGAAACGAUCUCAUUCGUGGAAUCCGAAGAAAUGAAGCGUUCAAGUUUGCCCCAAAACGUGCGAUCCUUAGUGUGUUAAGUAAAUAUCGAACUAACAUUCCUUCCCCUUCCCCAACAGUUGCAAGGAGCAAGCAAUGGAUGGAGGCUAGUUUUUAACUUAAGGUGAAGGUGGAAGCUAGCCAUUGUAGUAGUAUAGGUAAACCCUCGUGUAAAAAUGGGGUAAUAGUGUUUGUGAGAAAAGAGCAAAGCACACGUAAAUAGAUCAAUUCACUUAUCAGACUGUGUGGCGCUUCAUUGACACGAGUCUUUGAAUACAUUUGAAAAAAAAAAACAAAUAACAAUUCAAUACUUAAGUAAAAUGUAUGAACGAUAUGUUCCGAUGAACAAUUGCAAAUAUAAAUAUAUAUAGAAGGUGCAUUUGCAUAUGAUUCUGAUUAUACGCGAGCGUAACAUGAGCAAAUUUAUAACACAUGCGAAUUGGGGCACUUUUGGUAUUAACAAGUUCUUCCGCAUAGUAACUCGAUGUUGAUAAUUCCUUAAUAUUUUCCUUCGUUGAUCGUAAUGUUUUCACAUAUUCACGUUGGAAAGCCUUAACCCUUCUCUUCGUUGGCCGAGGCAUUUAGAUUGAAUUUAAUACUUUUCCGUUUACUGUUUUUGAAAGCAUAGGCAACAAUUUUCUUACCCAAUGUUAAAGUUGCUAAAACUUACAUUAUAGACCCAUUAAACGUAAAAAUAAUAAUUGUAUUGAUAUCAACACAAUUUUAUUCUAUUGAUUUUCAUGACAUGGGACGCUAUGACUCCGGAAUAACAUUUUAUUGAGUGGUUUUUAUAGCUGUUUCGAUGAUGUUGUUCGGAAUCAGUGUCGAAAAAAUAACGAUGCUUCCACCAAUACAAACAAAACCAUUGCAGAAGAUUGAAAAACGAAAAUUUAACUUUCAGAGCACUUGCUCGAGUUUUCCGACGUUCUUCACUAUACGGUGCGAAAGCAGAUGAAAAUUUAAUAUCUUGUGAGUAAUCGAUUAGAGUUUGGUUGAUAUUACUUGAAGGGAAGUGUGCGAAAACGAUCAUUUUCUUCACACUGUUUCGCAAAAUUAUUGAUUUUCGUGCGAGAGGUGAGGGAGGGAGAUGAAAGAAAUGAGCGCCAUUGUGGCAGCCAUUUAUGGCUUGCUUCCACCUUCACUUUAACAGUUCUGAAUUUGUACCACCUACGAUAUUGUGCGACUUGCUCAAUGCUAAUGCUAAUGCUAAUAUUGUGCUCCUAUUGCAUCACAAGAAACAUGGCCUGUUGUACAACACGAUUUAUUGUUAAGCCCAUGCUACUAACAUUGUUUGCUUCAGUCUUCCGAAAAACACUUACACAGGUGUACGCGAUGUUCAAAUUCCAACAAAUUCUACAACAACAUGCUUUUCGCUAGUAUUCAAUGUUUAUCCCAAAAAAGCCUAAUUGUAACGAAAGUUUCCUGACCUUGACCAGACACUUUUAACUCCCCGGCUAUGAACGGGAGGGGACUCUUUGAGUCAUGCAGCCUUUCGUCUUAUGUUGGGACCAGAAGUAACUCAAAAGGGGAACAAACGUCCACAAAUAUCCAACUGUACACGGUUCUCUAGAAUCCGAAUCUCACUAACGGAGAGUCAAAGACCACUGCGCUAAUAACUUUGGACACUCUCUGCGAGCGAGGCCUGGGGGUUCUGGUCGAACCAGAGUGACGAACAAAAGGAAGAUAAUUGAGGGCUGUUUGUUGCGGAAUUGUUAUCAAAACCGUGUAUAUUUUUAACAAUCAUAUUUAUUCGUAGGGUUUGAUUUGUGGGGGAGUGUGUGAGUGGUUUAGUUGGUGAGUACUACCUGCUGUUUUCGGGAUUGGUUUCGAUGUUCUCUGCACUGCUAAUUAUCAUACGAUGAACGCUGGCCGGUAUCUGGAUGAAGCUGCGCCGUAUACUAUCGUCCUUCGUCAGGGCCUCUUUCUGCUCGACCUGCCUCAGCUUCUCCGUGCGGCCCGUUAGAAAAAAAGCCAAGUCAAAACAACCCGUUAAACGGACCCGACCAAUAGGUAGCAUUAGCACAUGUGCAUUACCAAUUUCAGUAUUAUCGGACCUUUUAAUUAUUUAUCUUUUAACGUGUUUGAUUUGAAUGAAUAAUGUGUACGUUGUUCCUUUGUAUUUAAUCAAUGGUACUGUUAAAGCUGUAGGUUAACAUUAGGUUGAGUUUUAACUAUCUGUUUUUUAAGCAUACUGGCUGGUUUCUUUUAAUUAUAUUAUUAUUAAAUUAAACCACAAACUUCUUAUUUAUAUACGUUUAAUCGUACAACAAAGCAACACUUAAUUCCUUUAAAAUUUGAAAUUACUUUUCACUGAGCGCCCUACUAUUCUCGGUGACAGUCGACGGCAGAAAGAACGAGCACAGGAUUGGCCGAGAAGGAAUAAAAAUAUUGUGAGAUCGAAUAUGAACAAAUGUCCUAUCGGAUUGGAAAGUUGUGUAAGUUCUUCAACUACUGGACGCAUAACUACACGGUUCAAGCUCCAUAACUCAUGUCCCAAGGUCCCUACAAAGAUUGGCUAAUCAUCUGUCCAAUGACAACCGAACGAAGAACAAGUAGUCGAGUUUCAGGUGAACCUUUUUGUGGCGUAGCUAUAAAUCUAGUUGGUGACCGAAGGUUAAACACUAACAUCGAGGAAGACAGAGGUCCAUCUGGAGACCAGCAGGGCGGUCUGUUCACGGGUCUCAAACACCUUCUUCCAUGCGCGUACAUUGUAUAGGGACGUUCCUACCCACAGUUAAGCAACUCAAAGGAGGGAAGGACGACAUUUCGGGGUUAUAGAGCUUUUACUGAUUUUUUUCUGAUAAAAUAUUAUUCACGGCACUCUGGUAGAGACUGCCAGUCAACGGAUAAUGCAGCUCCAAUACGUUGAAGGAAACUCGGGGAAACUGACACUGCGUCUUGAAAUUCGGCCCACCUGGUGGUCCUCCUGGUCGAGUGCGAAUCUCUUCCACAAUUCGCUCGAGUAACACUCCCCACUAUAGGCACUCGCACAUCACACGAAAACGGAGUUUCGCUUUUUUCCUCCUAAAACAUUUCUUUGUAGAAUAUUUUUUCACAGAAGCUAACUAGAAAUUUAGUUCGUAUUGCAAACAUUGCACAAACUCAGACGUUAUAAGUUCAUGCUCAUUUUGCAAGUCUGAUUAAAUGAUAUCCAUAGUUUUUUUUUUCCGUGAAAAGAAAACAUUCUCUGAAUAUAAAGAAGCUUUAGACGGCGCCAGUGGUUGUAUGGUUAGCGUAACAGCCUCACAAUCCGAUCGGCCUGGGUUCAAUCCCAGCUGGCGUCGUUGGGAUUUUCUGAGGCGAAAAAUCUCUGGUUACGUCUUCCUUCGGAGCGGAAGUAAAAGAAGUUGGCCCGGCUCAUGAGUUGUUGAGUCUGAUAGGUAGGAACAGGUGGAGUCGCCUCCCUGAUGUCGGUGAUUGGCACUAAAAGUGGCGGAAAUAGGCCGACGAAAAAUAAGCGAAGAUAAAAAAAAAAAAGAAGCUUCUAUGAGUUUUUUUUCCAAUCGAAGCCUGGGGAACCGACUGCACAGCGGGGUGACAUCAUACAAAUGCUGGCCGAAUAAGUAAAUAAAUACCCAAAACAGUGGAGGCGAUCUGGCGUAGUGGUAACAUCCAUACCUCUCACGCAGAGAUCACGAGUUCAAUUCUCACUCCCGACAUUCUUCCAAAAAUGGAAGUAAAAGUGACGAAACAGCCGAAAUGUGUUGAAAGUCACUAUAAUAAAGAAAAAAAAAGAAAAAAAAAUACCCAAAACAUUUGUUUUAGAUGCAUGCUUUCAGGAAAGUCCACAACUAUUUUUGGUAUUUUGAUGUGGGUAACUGAACAUCUGCGCCACGCUCUAUUCAAUUAUAGCACUUGUCCACAUAGCUAAUAAUGGCAGAUGUUACAUAAAUUCAAUUUAUAAAUUGAUGCGUGCUCUAAAUAGUGAUAUCAAUUGUGAAGAACUCUGAUAUCAAUUGUAAAGAACUUCAAGUGUGUUUUGUUUGCCCGAAAUUUUUGAUGAAGCACCUUUUGUCAUGAUAGAGGCUUCCCUUCCUUUUUCCAUGUUAACACACCAACACACCGUGUAUUGAGUGGUGGUGAUCCAAUUCGCUCCUUUAACUCUACACACUGCCGUUGCUUAAGGUGAAAACGCAAGAGAAACUGUACACCAUGGUAAACAUUGGGAUCAAACAACGUAUAUCUAAACAUACUACGAAUACAAACAUGUCACAUUUGCAAACACCGGUACGAAAAAACAAUGUUUGUGUGCAAACACAAAACUGCGAGAGCAACAUUGUUAAUCUCGUACGCAGUGUUCAAUACAUUCAGAGGGCUGUACGUGGGGGAUGAAUUGAAUGCGAUACACACACAACGUCGCGUCACCGUCAAAUCAACUUAAAGGAAAAUGUCAAAUAUUAUCCCAUGGAAAUCGUAUGGUAGCAUUCACAUACAACUUCACCGGUAACUUUGACGUCGGCAAAAUUAGUCCAAGAGAAUAGUUUACGACAAGAUGAAUAGAAAGUAUUACUAAGGUGAGUCCGUAUCGUCAAUAAGUUAGCGAGGAGAGUGGUAAGCAGUGGUGAUUGUUGGCGGGGAUUGUUUACAAAAAAAGGCGGGAAGGGUAUAACUGAUUCGUACAAGCGUUAAAGAUUGUGUACUGUUUGAUUUUCAAAGCAUUUGAGUGAUUGGUUUGAGAAGCACUGUUUUACGGGGUAAGUUGUUCAAUAUUAUAAGAUGUGCACUAUAUGAAAGGCUUGUUCUGCUCAUAGAUGGCUCAUUACUGUGCUGUUCAUAGUUGCGGAACAACACGUUCGCACAGCAGGAAUACGGAGUUUACCACUACUGUGCAUGGACUACUCACGAAUGGGAGUUGGCUCUCUCAUUGGAUUGGCUUUUGUGGUCAAAAAACGGAUGGAAGCCUCAAACCAACCAAGGAAUUUGUGGAAAACAUUUUGCACCAUCCUACUACAUUGAGAAUACUUGCUCGAACUCAGUCAAGCGACGCCCGAAACUUAAUGCUGAUGCAUUGCCAGGAGAUCCCGACCAUUGGACUAUAUCAGAGGUGACCGCGAAUCAAUUCACUAAUUACGAUCUCCUUCUUCUGUAGAUUAUGAUAAAACAUACCCUGAGGCGAUAGAAAAUAUUGAGAUACCAGGUGGGUUUUUGUUAUUCAAUUUACUGCACGAGUUAGGUGAAAAGAACAAUUUCACGCGAAUGUUUGAUGAAUUCAAUUGGUAGAUUUGAUUAUGUUUUAUUUAGAUUACUUGUUGUUUGCAUGAUGUAUAACAUCUAGUAUAGAAAUUGUUCAUGUCAUUCUGAAAUUACUAUAGGUGUAAAUCAGAACAUUGAUAGCCUGGGAAAGUUGCCAGAUUGCAGUGCCAAAAACAUAAUAAUAUAUGUUCAACCGGAAAUCUGCAUUAGUAUAUGUAAAUGGAAAGAUUUUAAUAGCUGUUUAGUUGUUUUAAAUUAAUGAUUUAAUUGAGUGCUAAACAUGCAAUUUUCAGAAACACUCUGUAAUUUAUCAUUCUCUUGCCGGUUGGAAGCAACAUUAAGUAAAGAACAAUCUAGUCUAUGUAAAUCGAAGGUAUUUGACAUUUCUCUAUAAUGUAAGUAUUAACAAGUUUUUGUACAAAAUUUGUAGAUGCCACACUUCACAUCGUUCAUCUUCAGCACUUCUCGCUUUAAAUUCCAUCCUGAUUUCAACAAACUGUCUGCGUCUGAUAGAAUAAAAUAUUUUUGUAAGUAUUUCGAUCGCUAGACUGAAUAAAUUUUAGUUUUACUUAGAAUAUUACUUGCAGUGGGAGCAACGGCAGACUUAUACGUUACUUGUCAAGAUAUGCGAUCAACAUCUGGACAACAUAAAUUGUUCAUCGCCGCUUUAUGAACAAGAGUCACACCAAAUUCUGUUUCAUUGCCAACGAGCCGCAGUUCAUGAAGCAGAAGCAGACGAGCACAUUUAAUUUGAUGAGUAUUUACAUCAAAUUCAAUGUGCUCUACGUAAAAUGUAAAUUAUUAGAUAAUACCCUCCAAUUUCAGCACUAAUCAAAUUUUGUAAAUAACGUAUGUUUCUUGCAACCGAAUCAGCGAUGCAUCCACCGGACAACCACAGGAUAUACUUCAACAAGUUAGCCAAAUAGUGAUAAUGAUCAUCAAUGGAUCUACUUUAACCGUCAAUUUACUCAAACAAUUUCAGGCAUUUCAAAUAGAGAAGACAAUCUAGAUACAAAUCAACAAGGACCGCCAAUUGUAAUUUCGCAGCAUCUUUAAAUGGUGAUACAGCAGAUGCAACCCCCUAAGAAACAACAAACACCCCAGUAAAUUCUCCAAACAACGGUCAGGUUCAUCAAUAAAUAAAAUACAACGAUCGUUACUAUUGGUCAUAUCGUAACAGCAGCACAAAAUUGUUGAGGCUAUUUUUAAUUUUUGAAUUAUAUAUUUAUUUUUUUGAUUAUGUGCAUUACCUUUUGAGGCAAUCGCUCCUCAACAUGUGAGUGGUAAAAUAAAUUAAUAUAGUCAGAAAAUGACGAUCGUCCUGAAGAAAACAAUAUUAGAUAUUGUAGUGUAUAAAAAUGAAAAAAACAAUAAAACAAUAUUUAUAAAAUAUUAAAUAAUUAAAUACAGUUUCCCUUGGAGGAAAUAUAACUCUGUUAAACAUCGUUUAAUCAGUCAAUCGCGAUCGAUGUAUUUAUUUAUAAGUAUAAUUAUUCAGAUGUUUCUCCAAAUACUGAAAUAAAUCAACAUGAUGUUAAU